AGCGAACGCUGGCGGCAUGCUUAACACAUGCAAGUCGCACGGAGGGGGCAACCCCUCAGUGGCGGACGGGUGAGUAACGCGUAGGUAUCUGUCCAUGGGUGGGGGAUAACAGCGGGAAACUGCUGCUAAUACCGCAUGACACCUGAGGGUCAAAGGCGCAAGUCGCCUGUGGAGGAGCCUGCGUCCGAUUAGCUUGUUGGUGGGGUAACGGCCUACCAAGGCGAUGAUCGGUAGCUGGUCUGAGAGGAUGAUCAGCCACACGUGGGACUGAGAC
rnacentral:rRNA from 1 species